AGACACUCUCCACCCUGGAGUCCUUUCGCACCCUGCAGAAGCAGUAUUUGCAUCUGUGAGCCAGAAAUCCCUGCUUCCUCCUACCCAGUUCAGAGGAUGCUAAGACUUUCUUUCUAAAUGACUCCUUUGGUGGGGAUGGAGUUACAUUUUUAUGAGUUAGGGAUUUUUUUUUAAUGCCUUAUUGUGGUAAAUGGGAUUUUUUAAAUUCCUAAUAAGAGCUGUUUUGUGUCCUCUGCAUGGGGAGGCUGAGGAAAAGAUACACUUUCGAACCUCUGCCGCUCCCUAGUCACCUGCUUCCCAAGACAGUUCCUUAGGAUGAAAUCCCUUGUGAACUAGCUCCUCGUCCCGCUCUCCUGAGCCAGAGCAUGCAGAUGCUUUUGACUCUCCUGAGCCUGCUGGUAGCGCUGAACACCUGCCCGCCAUGCCCAAGAGUCAGAAAGAUGGUUUAAAACACCUGUUCAUACUUCUGGAAAAUAAGAAG
rnacentral:lncRNA from 1 species